UCCGCCCUGGCAUGUCGGCGGGGCUGCGGCCCCUGCGGCCCCUGGGGCCGCCCCGCACCCCCCGGGGGCACCGGCACCCCGCCUCCCCCUGCUCCGCCGCUGCCGAUCCGAGUGAGGUUUAGCAGUGCUUCCCCGAGUUCUGCUGCCUCUUCCAUCCGCCUCCCGCGAUGGCAUUUUCAGCACGAGCCGGAGCUGCUUCAGUAGGCGGCAGGUUGUUUGGCUCUGCUGGCAGGAAACACCUGUCAGCGACUUGGCGCAGCGCUGGGACGACUUGUGUGUCAAACCGUGACAAACUUCGUUCCCCGCUUCCAAACGAAAACGAGUCUUUCCCUGGCGGAACCGCUUUUCGGUUCCAGUUUCCCUGCACCGGCCGGCCACGAAAUACGAUCCUGCUGUCGCUCUUCAGUCUGCCCCCUUCGUUCAAUUAAAGAUGCAUGAUGGAAAGCAAAAAGUAAA